GUGGCAGCCUGCAGGUCGCAAUCUGCUCCCUGUUACUUCCAUGUUUAUUUUCGGCAACUUGGUUGACUUCAGGGGAACUGACUCGCACGUCUGUAAGUUGAGGGAGGCAAUAGCUCUUUUGCCGCAGUUCCUUGCCCUCUCUCAUGCCCGUUGAUGUAACCUUACACGGUGGCUUUGUCGAUAGUGACAAUCGCGUCGGGUCUCCCUCCCGUUUGCUCUCACUGCGGCUGCAGUUGUGCCGCUCCACCGCCAGGCGGCGCCCUCGCAGCGCAGCCCGGUUUCACAGCUCCGUCCUCCAUCCCCCGGACUGACGAUGGCCACAGCACGUCUUCAUAUUGAUAUGGCCAUUAAAUAUUAAGCAGAUGCAAUCAGUGGAGGUAGCAGCCUGCCAGCAGAGAGAGAUUCUGGCUGCUGCUGUGCGAAGGGGCUGGGCAGAGCGGCAGCUGAUGGAAGGUAUUAAGGAAGAGCAAAGUCCUUCAGGAAGAGCACAGUGAGGACGCAGGUACAAAGUGUCUGUUUACAUGGCAGGAAAUGGUUCUCUGCUCAGUCUCAAAGCCCAGCUCCUGCUGGACUAUGUUUGGCUUCUCAAACAGUUUUGAUCCCCAGUGCUUACGAGCUGCUCCUCACACCACUCUGGAGGCAGUGCUGGCAGCAGCUCAUGCUGAUCAUUAUUCUGGCUUUAGUAAUUAAUAUUCUGGGUUACUUCAGUGACACUUAGAAAUAAAUUAAUUUCCAACAGACAUCUUUCCCUUGAGAGAAGAUGAUUUUCUACUCUGGAACCCGUUCAGCUUUGUCACUGUGGCCUGGCAGACCCUGAGAGAAAAGAACGUGGGAGUUUUGACCAAAGCAUUCAUUUUGGUUUCUGGGAAAUGGUCCUGAAGCUUUUUUAUACAGUGAGAUUCCACAUAAGAAAAUAAAAUAAUAGCAAUUUUUAAAAAUGUAGAUUCAGAGGGAAUUCCCUCUGUAGGAGAAAUUAGAAUCUGAAAGGCUGUAUUUGCUCAGCCUAAACAAGAGGGUUGGGCAAUGUGUGCCUUCUCAGAAAUAAACUCAAUUCCGGGACAUUCAGUGGAGAUUUCCAUGUCUUAAAGUUUCCCUCUGCUCUGUGGUGAUCUCAAUGACCAUCUUCCUUCCAGUGAUAAAACCAGACACGAUAAGGAGAUAUAAAUAUUCCACACUGCAAUUUCACACAUCCUAGUAACGUCAGCAGUGCCAGACUCUGCUGCUUCUCAGGUUGCUCUUUAAACUUCAGCUUUCUGCAGAAUUUGAUAGCAGACGUUUCUGAUGAAAUGACUCAAUCCCGUGUGACUCACUUUCAGUAUUUUUCCGUUUCCAGCUGGAAAAAACAAGCAGAACACAAAGAAGGAAGAAUUGACAUCUAAGGAAGUUGGUGUAUCAUAAGGUCUUUUCCUUCCACUGGGACAUUCACACAGUUAAAUACUGGGUUAUUAGUGCAGCAAGUCCAGCUUGAAUUGCAUGUUUGUUUUACUCGCUGUGAUAACUGUGUUUGGUAACAGCGGCCAGGAGAGCAAAAGGAAAUGUAUGUAACAACCUCUGUAAUGAGCACUGUGCCCCAAGCUGGAUAUUCUUUACUAAUGGAUUUAGAGAUCUGUUAGCAUGCACAAAUCAGGGAAGAGCUGGUUGUCCUGUGACUCAGACUUCACCUUUGCAGACAGGGAUUUCCAGGUUUGCACAGUCUAAAUGGUACUCGGCAGUUUCCAUCAGAUUCCUUUGACAAGGAAGGUACCUCAGUGCUGGAGCUGGAGCAGAGUGUGGGGAGUUAAAGCAAGGUUUGUGAGCAGCAAGACUUUGGCUGCCAAAUUAAGAGUGAGAAGAGAAUUUCUGAGCAGCUUAUGAAAAUUGACCUCUGGGCCUGCUAUGUUCUGCAGGACCACUGUACCAGCUAUUUCCAGUUGAAAGCAAGUAUCAUUUAUGCCCACUGUAGCAUUGAUUGCGUUCACUUCAGGAGAAGUUCAGUUUCCUGGAUUGAAUCGUAACCAGUGAUGGGAUGUGAUGUCACUACUACAAGCUAGAGUCAAAAUGGCAGAAUGGUGAGAUGUGAGUUCCCCAUCAAAGAAAAAGUUGAAGACACAGCCCUCAGCAGGUGCACUGAUGUGCACUGUCUUUUGGGAUAGGAAAGGGGGGACCCUUUGGGAUUCCCUGGAGCCCAGAUAAACCAUCAGCUCUGACCACUACAUCAUGACAGGGCCUAAGCUGAAGGCCCAAACUUCCAGAGUCAGGCCAGAGAAGACAACCUUUCUCUUGCAACACAACACCAGGCCCCAUGCCAGUUUGAAGACCGUGAAGCACAAUGCCAAUCUCAGCUGGACCGUCCUAUCACAUCCACCAUAUAGUCCAGAUUUGGCACCUUCUGAUGGAUUAACUCUGUGCAGUAAGUUUGGCCUCGGGUCCUUCACAUCUGCCAAGGAAUUUGGAGUUUAUCCUAUCCACAGCCUUAGUAAUAAAGUCCACUGUGUUUAGUGUGCUUUCUUUGAAAAUUAUAACUGUGUAAGAGAAGCAGGUGAGUUAUGGACCUACUGAUGGUAUAAUUUUUAAUUUUCAGUUAUUUUCAGCAGAGAGUUGGUAGAGCACAGUAUUUCUGCAAUUAAUUUACUAUGUUGUGAAUACUAGUGCAGAAACAAGGCAGGGUGUGCAGGGAAAAUUAAAACUGUUGUGUUAAAAAAUCCUAGAAAAAAUCUUGUCCUGUCGUAGUAAAGUGAAGCUGAAUGGCUUAUGAAUCCUAUGGGGAAACUCAGAAACCCUUACCCAGUGUCCUACAAAACCUUCCUGCUUUCCCUCUCCUGUUAGAUAACACAGAUGGCUUUCUUGAGUUGGUAGCUGAUCUACCCCUACUGAACCUCAUUAUUUACAAAUAAAUGUGGUUCUUCAUGACGUUGGUUCUUAUUAAUCUCCAUUUUACGUCCCACUAACAAGGGGAAGACAAUGAAGUGUAGGCAGAGGAAAAAGAGUCAAGGACACUUCCCCAGUUAUCUACUGACAGAUUUAUCCUGCCCUGAGGUAGGACCUUCAAUCACCUCUGUGACUGCUGAGGUAGCCAUUUGCUGAACUCUUUUUCAGCUUAGAAAUCCUUUAUAUGGACAGGAGGAAAAGGCGAUUCUGGUGGUAAUGUUUUCAUCGAGAUUUGUGUGUGAUUUGCUUUCCAUCUAGUACUAUCCAUCUAAUAUUUUUGCUAACUGUGAUACUGCAGUGAUGUUGCUGGCUGCGUGUUUCCUCUUGAGUUAAUGAAAUGAUGUUGACUCCUUUUUAAUUUUAAUUUAAUGAUUUUUUCUUGGCUCACAAUGGAAGACUAGAUUUUUGUUGCUACCAGCUUUGCCUCAUAGCCACCUGUGAUGUGUGGAAGGAGUUCCUGGCUGGCCUGUGGAUCCACAUUACGCAGUCCUUAAUUUACACUUUUUAGUGCUCCCAAUGAAAGUCUGACAAAAAGGAAAGGCAGUCUAAAGAAACCCUGUGAAAUCAGAAUACUUCUGUUCAUUUUCCAGUCACCGUUUAGAAGUUAGCUAGUUAGCCUAACAAAUACUGAUCUUUUGUUUGCAGAUACAGCUUCAGUCUGUAAGUCCAGUGAUGCAUGAUCAGAAUGGUUGUCUUUUGGUUAUGGAGCACAUAUUUCUGACCCAAGCUUUCACCUGGAAGCUUUAUAACCUGAUAUUCUUAUCAGCUUGCAGAAAAUGCAUGUAAAGGAGUGAGUGUUUGCUGUGUUCAGUCUCUUACCACGUCAAGGCCAACUGCAGCACAGCGUGUAUCUUCUUACUGAAGGAUUCAGUAACAAAGCAGCUUUAUAUAUUGACUAAGAAGCCAGAUGAAGAGUGUUUUUCAGCUAUAAUUCUACUAUUGAUGGUCAGUGGUUUUAUGCUCAGCCUGAAAUGUCUGUUUCACAACCUAACUUCCCACGUAUUUCCACCGUUUAGUAGAAUGUGUUCUGUAAUGCAUGACUGCAGAAGACUCCCUAGAUGCAUAGUUAUCAAGAAACUAGCCUGAACUGGAUUUCUCCUCACCACUAGCCAGAGAAGGGGAUUUAACGAUGUCUCUCUCUGCUCUAAUCGGAGUUCUUGUGGUCUUGUAAAAACUGAUCUUUCUAGUCCUGCAGUCUUCCAUCCUCAUGUUAAAGUAAUAGGAGGGCGGCUUGUUGCAUCGUAUAGCUUUAGAACAAAUCUCUUACUUAGAGCUGAGUAGAAAUGUUUACGUUUAACUACAGUUGGUUGUACUUUCUGUAAGAGCUCAAAUGCUUUUGUUCUUUCAUUUGCAAAUGGUUUUAAAAUAAACAGGAAUGGCAAAUUUGUGAUGGAGUUCAUCAGGGAGUGGAUUUUCCUGUGAUAAUUUCACCCAUAUAAAUGAAACAUUCUUCCUACAAAUGAGAAACCAGUAUGUUUGGCCAACAAGGCCUGAAUCUCGUUUGAAGUGUUGGACCAUGAGGUUCCUUUAUGUUGACAUUAAUUGGAUCCAAUUCCCAUUGUUUCCAAAAUGUCUGCAUGGCUCACUGCAGCCCCAAGUGAACUUCACUGAGCUCUCCACUCAGAUAGUAAAUUGUAGUUCUGUGUAGCAAGGGUGCCAUCAGUCCCUGAGGAAUAUAGGCUUACCAGUACAACUCUGUUUUUAUUUCUAUACACACUUGUCCUGCCAAAACACUGCAUCAACAUAGCUGGUGCUGGCUCUGCUGCUGUGUUGCACUGCGCUAUUCGGUGUAUUCCUAAGGCUUAUUCUUAACCAAUGUCUCUUGUGCCAGGAUCUGAAUGCAGUUGAUGUUAGAUCUCUUUACAAUUACUGCCCCACAUCCUGCCCCUUUACUCUUUCCUCGAGUAGGUUUGUCGCUUAUUUCUUCAGGACUGUGCCUACUGUGGAACUGAGGAGUCCGAAUCACCACUGAAUGCACUGGCAGUAAAUAAGCCAUCUUAGUUGUCCUCAUCCAUUUUUGGUUCUUUCAUUAACAUUCCUGACACUUUUUUUUUAGCCCCCACAACUUUCUGUUUCUGUAUCUGCAGAAUACGUUACAUUAUAUGUCUAUUUUCAGUGAGAUGUUCUGAAGACAGAAAUUUUAAGAGAAUCCAAGUUAUUUGUUUUAAUAAGUAUCACGAUGUCCCCAAAUUCUAUCACUUCUCAGGAGAAAUUAAUUGUUCAUUAAUUCAUUCUUAAUGAAAUAGCAUUUGGAAGAGCAGCUCAUAUGUCUGCAUCUCACAUUAAGCAAAUAAUUCAUUUAUGCCAGUACACAGCAGCACUGUGAUGGUAUUGCUAUCUGAUAACUGCACACAGUUAACUCAGGUAAACCAUCAAAAGAUUCCAGAUGAAAAUUUGGUUGCUAAAGCCAUUCACUGCUUCAGUAAGUUGCAUAUUCCACAAACUUUGUGAAGAGUUCAGAAAUAUCUUUAAGGGUAAUAGGAAUACAUGCUAAGAAUGCAUUACUGCUCGCUGUAAGCCAGCUGCCUCCAGGCUGACGACAUAUCAAUAUGCAGUAUGUUCUGUGAAGCAAAAGCUUUGUUUUACAUCUGGUAUCAUUGGUAUCAAUAUAAGGUGAUGGUGCAAAAGGUAGUUAGGAUUUCAAGUGGAGAGAAUGGAAAACAUUUGUUUUUGAUAAACCAAAUUGUUCUUGCAGCAAUUCUGGACGUAAAACCGUAGCUUAGUCUUUCAGGACUAGCAUUCCCCUAUCUCAAUCAAAUACAUUUUAUAUCUUUUUCUAAGAUAAAGAUCUCUCUUUCUGUAGGCAAGUUCGAUUUCUAUUGAUACUAAUGUAACAGCCAGAAAAACUGUUUGCCGUGGCCAGGUAAACCAAAUACAGACAGUGUUCUGAUGUAAAGCCAAAUUUGGCUCAUACUGCUAGCAGAAUUGGGUACUGGAGACCAGCUGUCUGCAUACGAUGGGGCAGUUUCCCCCUUGCACUUUCUCAGAUCACGUUGUGUUUUGGUAGUCUUAGUUAGAAAGGACUUGAGUUUUGUUUGGGUCCAGAUGUGAGCGAUGGGACUUAUUCUUCAUUCCGUAUUCCCUUGAUUUUUCUCGUGCUUCCUGUCUCUUGCCAAAGCUAAAAGUUCCAAAACAGAAACCUACGGGAAGAGCUUCCCUGGUAAUGUUUGUGUUGAACAGAAACAAACAGCAAAAUGCAUUUCCUGCAAAAUAAUUUUCUUCUGGGAAAUGUAGCCUGUGUCCUAGGCCAAAGGGUCUGGCUAAGUCUGAAGAUUUUUAGAUAAGCUUUUCAAUUACAGAUUCUUAUUUAGAGCACAUGUAAGUGUCUUUCAGUUUCUCAUCUUUAAUUUCUUUUGAUCCCACUCAGCCUUGAGAAAUGUGUUUUCCCUUUGCCAGAACACUUGAUUUCUUCCUUGAAAAGGAGGUGAGUGGACCUGGGGUAAGUUAAGAGAGAAAAAGAUUUGAACAACACUGAUUAGCAAAGUGCUCACUUGACCAACUGUUGUAACUUCUAACUAAUAUCUAUAAGCAUACCAAACUUCACAUAGUCCGCGUCAGAAGAAGAGGUCUUUUCUUAGGUGUUUAGGAUGGAAUUCAUACAGCUAAAGCUUAAACACUGGAAGAUUUGCUCUACAUCAACACCUGCUGUUCUGCCCUUGCUGCAAGAAGGAAGCUGGAGCAAAUACACUUUUCAGCUGUGACAUAUAAUCCAUGUGUGGAUUAAACUGUGCAUGCAACUACAGCUGAGAAUUCCAGAGAAUCCUCCUUCCUCCACUCUGACAGUGCAAAGGUAGGCUUCUGACCCAAGGGAAUGUGUAUGAAUUACAAAGUACUCCAAUAUGGAUUGUGCUAACCUCUUCUGUUUUCUCUCUGUCACUGUUUUGCAGGAUGACUCUUCAACAUUUCCCUUCUUGUUCUAAGAAAAUUGGACUGAUUGUCAAAAGUGAUUUUGGACAUCCUUCCAAU
ensembl:lncRNA